CCUACGGGCGGCUGCAGUGGGGAAUAUUGGACAAUGGGGGCAACCCUGAUCCAGCCAUGCCGCGUGUGUGAAGAAGGCCCUCGGGUUGUAAAGCACUUUCAGUGAGGAAGAACGCCUGGUGGUUAAUACCCAUCAGGAAAGACAUCACUCACAGAAGAAGCACCGGCUAACUCCGUGCCAGCAGCCGCGGUAAUACGGAGGGUGCGAGCGUUAAUCGGAAUUACUGGGCGUAAAGCGCGCGUAGGUGGCUUGAUAAGCCGGUUGUGAAAGCCCUGGGCUCAACCUGGGAACGGCAUCCGGAACUGUCAAGCUAGAGUGCAGGAGAGGAAGGUAGAAUUCCCGGUGUAGCGGUGAAAUGCGUAGAGAUCGGGAGGAAUACCAGUGGCGAAGGCGGCCUUCUGGACUGACACUGACACUGAGGUGCGAAAGCGUGGGUAGCAAACAGGAUUAGAUACCCCUGUAGUC
rnacentral:rRNA from 1 species